CUAUCAUCUCCUGCUGAAGCUUCCAUUGCCAUGAAGACAUCAGCUCUCACCUUACUGGUCCUAGUUGCAUCUACUUGGGCUGCUGAUAAUCAAAUAAAAGGAACAGAGGUUAAAUGCCUCUGGCCCUCCACUGAAGGCAAG